rfam:Escherichia hermannii NBRC 105704 DNA, contig: EH10570402.
GUAUCAGCCUGAACACCAUUAUUACAACCACCACCAUUACCACAGGUAACGGGGCGGGCUGACGCGUACAGGAAAAACUGAAAAAAGCCCGCACCUGAACAGUGCGGGCUUUUUUUUC